UGUUUAGAUUUUCAACCAGUGGUGUGAGUAGGAGUAGCUCUGUCUGUCACUGUGAAUUGGAGAGAGAGAGAGAGAGAUACCGAAACGAUGCCGUGCCUCAACCUCUCCACCAACGUUAACCUCGAAGGUGUCGACACCUCUUCCAUCCUAUCUGAAGCCACUUCCACCGUCGCAUCUAUCAUCGGAAAACCUGAAGCGUAUGUGAUGAUUGUACUGAAAGGAUCAGUACCCAUAUCUUUUGGUGGGACUGAGCAGCCAGCAGCUUAUGGAGAAUUGGUGUCCAUUGGUGGUCUUGGGCCUGAUGUGAACAAGAAGCUUAGUGCUGCAGUUGCUGCAAUUCUUGAGACCAAGUUGUCUGUGCCCAAGAAUCGAUUCUUCUUGAAAUUCUAUGACACCAAGGCGCAUCAGAGUCAAGAAUAUGCACAGUGUUUGCAUGCUUUACAUCAGCAAUAGGGCAUGUAAAUUAAUCCUUACUGUUCAAGACUGUUAGUUAGCUCCUUUUAAGAUGGUUCCAACUUUGGAUGGAACGGUUCUACAUUCUGAAUUCCGUGUUAGUUUGGUUAUGGUGCCUUGAAUGUUCGAUGGAGUGAGUCUUCAUAAUGUUUCACUUCUGCUUUUGUGUCUAUAUUUGAUGUUGAAACAUAAGUACUUGAGCAUUUCUGGUAACCUAAGCAAGUCAUGCAAAUCAACUUGAUUGAUUGUAUGGACAAAUGGGAAUUAUGUGUGUUUAUGGUUUCUUUUGGACAACAAUUAUUUAUCAAGAACCAUCUAAAUUGGAUAUUUGUAUUGAUGAUGCAUUGUGUUAAACAUGUUACCUAGAUGAAAUCAUUGUCUUUGUUGCUUACUAA